rnacentral:rRNA from 1 species
UACGUAGGGGGGCAAGCGUUGUCCGGAAUUAUUGGGCGUAAAGAGCUUGUAGGCGGUUUGUCGCGUCUGCUGUGAAAUUUCGGGGCUCAACCCCGAACUUGCAGUGGGUACGGGCAGACUAGAGUGUGGUAGGGGAGACUGGAAGUUCCUGGUGUAGCGGUGAAAUGCGCAGAUAUCAGGGAGGAACACCGGUGGCGAAGGCGGGUCUCUGGGCCGAUACUGACGCUGGAGGAGCGAAAGCGUGGGGAGCGAACAGG